rnacentral:rRNA from 1 species
UCGAUUUGGAGUUUGUUGCCCUGAGUGAUGGGCUCCGAAGCUAACGCGAUAAAUCGACCGCCUGGGGAGUACGGCCGCAAGGUUAAAACUCAAAUGAAUUGACGGGGGCCCGCACAAGCGGUGGAGCAUGUGGUUUAAUUCGAUGCAACGCGAAGAACCUUACCUGGUCUUGACAUCCACAGAAUUUUGCAGAGAUGCGAGAGUGCCUUCGGGAACUGUGAGACAGGUGCUGCAUGGCUGUCGUCAGCUCGUGUUGUGAAAUGUUGGGUUAAGUCCCGCAACGAGCGCAACCCUUAUCCUUUGUUGCCAGCGGUUUGGCCGGGAACUCAAAGGAGACUGCCGUUGAUAAAGCGGAGGAAGGUGGGGACGACGUCAAGUCAUCAUGGCCCUUACGACCAGGGCUACACACGUGCUACAAUGGCGUAUACAAAGGGAGGCGACCUCGCGAGAGCAAGCGGACCUCAUAAAGUACGUCUAAGUCCGGAUUGGAGUCUGCAACUCGACUCCAUGAAGUCGGAAUCGCUAGUAAUCGUGAAUCAGAAUGUCACGGUGAAUACGUUCCCCGGGCCU